rnacentral:lncRNA from 1 species
UUUUAAAAGAAAAUAAUUAUUGAUGUGUAAAGUAAAUGAAAACACAGUCAAGUGGGAGUGUAAUUGAAAGUAAUUUAAGAGUUCAAUGGUUGAUGACUUUUUUCAAUUAUGAUAUCUCUUUAUUAAUAGGAAAUUCAUAAAUUAAGGAGUAUGCAAUAUAAUCAUUGUGGAAUAUAUUAGGGAAACAUUUUUGAUCCAUGCAAGUAAAUUGAGAUAGACUGGGUGCACCUGUUCCUAGUCAUGCCCAGGGAAUAUGUGAAACUCUGGCUCAGGAUGAACGUCUGUUGGUGUCAGCACAACAAUAAUGAAACAAAGUUGGCAGUAGGGUGGGGAAGUGUUUGGUGGGUGGGAGCCACCAUCUGCAGCCAGCUCCCAGCACGGCUGUGUGUUCGGAUACCCAUCAACCAGGAAAGGGAGUCUAAGGCCUCCAGAUGAUUUUCCCCUUUCACAAAACUGUUGUAAAAUGAAAUACAAAUCCUUCCUGAAUGUUCCUAGCUUUUCUUCCUUUCGGAAGUUUUCAGUCAAUGGGAAACAAAGCCUUAUUCAAAGGAUUAAAGCCAUAGUCAUUCUAUUGUUUGGGGCUUCAAUAAUGUGGCUUUCCUUCCACAGACAGAAUUUUCAAUUCACAAAUCAUCUGAAAAACAGGAAAUUUUGGAGAAACAUGCUUAUGAUAACAAACAAGGGAUCUAUCGUGUGGUAUAGAAGUUUACACAAAGAGGCAUCUGAUUUUAAGUUUUUGUUUUUUUUUUUUUUUUUUUUUUUACCGUUCUGGGCUUCUGGCUGCAUUCUAGGAAGAUCAUUCCUUAAAAGAAAUAGCCAUAUGGCUUAUAAGACAUGGAAUAAACUUGACAAGUGCUAAAGAUGCUCUUUGAUUUUUGUGUGGCAUGAGACCUCAGGCUGAAACUUCUCAUCUGAGCCAUUGAAGGGAGCCUCUCAUCUCUCCACCGAGAGGGGAGACCAGAAUGGCUCCUUCAGGCACAUUCUGUUGGGCUUCCCUCUACCUCCCCACUCUGCUGCUUCCCCGCUCUUUUUGAAUUUCUCCCUGUUGAGGAGAGGGAAGACCAGCUAGGAGCUCUGUUUCUGGCAGGAAUCUGACACCACUUACUCCUUGGGUAGAAACUCCCCCAAGUCUGAACUAUGUGAUUGCCUGAGCCCUGCUUCUUGUUCAUUAAGACUGCUCCUCUGAAACGGAAUUGAUGAAUUUUUAGUGGCUAUUAGAAGCAUUUGGGAUCCAUAGGCAUCAGGGUUUGAUGCAUGGCCCUCAUCUCUGUGGGCUCCUGUGCAAUGAUUCUCAUCUGUCUUAGUUAGAAAGUGAAUUAAUCUUGACCUUGGCCUCAGGGGUGUGGUUCUCUGCCCUCUUACACAUCUUCAAUUCGCUUCUUUAUCAGAAGCACUUGUUUUAGGCCCAGGCUCCCCCAAUUUUAAUGACAUUUAGACAUUUGUCUUUAAGUUACAUUGCUUUGAUUUUAAUCAAAAUCUAUAUUUCUAGUAUUAUAUGUUUCCAGAAAGUUCUCAUUCUGGAUUGUAAUUUAAUUACAUGGAUCAUUAAAGCUUUGAAGGAUGCUAAUGGGCAGAAAAAAGAGACUUAACAAAACGAAAGUUAUUAUUAGGAAUUACAAAUCACUUAACAUUUCAACAUCACUCGUCGGAUGUGGGCAUUUUGUUGAAAGAGACCUUGUUUUGAACAGUGACAGUGCAGAAGACCUAUGGAAGAAACAAGCUUCCAACUUGAUUUCUAUUGUUAUGCAUGCAUAGCAAAUUAUUAAUUCUAUUCUAAUAGGGUAAUAGAUUUAGAAAUACUAUUAGCAGAAAACUUGAUGUAUUAGGCAAUACUACAUACCACAUUAGUCUAACCGCUCAACUGUAAUUUUUCAUCCAUACUUUCUUGGGAUGUAAAUAAAAUUGAUAUUAUACAAUGAAAAUAAAA